rnacentral:rRNA from 1 species
AUUGAACGCUGGCGGCAUGCCUUACACAUGCAAGUCGAACGGUAACGGGCCUUCGGGUGCCGACGAGUGGCGGACGGGUGAGUAAUACAUCGGAACGUGCCCGAUCCUGGGUGAUCACGGGGCGAAAGCUUUGCUAAUACCGCCUACGAUCUACGAAUGCAAGCAGGGGACCGCAAGGCAUUGUGCGGCCGUGGCGGCCGAUGUCAGCUUAUGUAGUUGGUGGGAUAAAAGCUGACCAAGGCGACGAUCUGUAGCUGGUCUGAGAGGAUGAUCGGCCACACUGGGACUGAGACACGGCCCAGACUCCUACGGGAGGCAGCAGUGGGGAAUUUUGGACAAUGGGCGCAAGCCUGAUCCAGCCAUGCCGCGUGGAGGAUGAAGGCCUUCGGGUUGUAAACUGCUUUUGUUCGGAAAGAAAAGCCUUCUUUUAAUACAGGAGGGUCAUGACGGUACCGAAAGAAUAAGCACCGGCUAACUACGUG